rnacentral:rRNA from 1 species
UUAAAUUGAAGAGUUUGAUCAUGGCUCAGAUUGAACGCUGGCGGCAGGCCUAACACAUGCAAGUCGAACGGUAACAGGAAGCAGCUUGCUGCUUCGCUGACGAGUGGCGGACGGGUGAGUAAUGUCUGGGAAACUGCCUGAUGGAGGGGGAUAACUACUGGAAACGGUGGCUAAUACCGCAUAACGUCGCAAGACCAAAGAGGGGGACCUUCGGGCCUCUUGCCAUCAGAUGUGCCCAGAUGGGAUUAGCUUGUUGGUGAGGUAACGGCUCACCAAGGCGACGAUCCCUAGCUGGUCUGAGAGGAUGACCAGCCACACUGGAACUGAGACACGGUCCAGACUCCUACGGGAGGCAGCAGUGGGGAAUAUUGCACAAUGGGCGCAAGCCUGAUGCAGCCAUGCCGCGUGUAUGAAGAAGGCCUUCGGGUUGUAAAGUACUUUCAGCGGGGAGGAAGGUGUUGUGGUUAAUAACCGCAGCAAUUGACGUUACCCGCAGAAGAAGCACCGGCUAACUCCGUGCCAGCAGCCGCGGUAAUACGGAGGGUGCAAGCGUUAAUCGGAAUUACUGGGCGUAAAGCGCACGCAGGCGGUCUGUCAAGUCGGAUGUGAAAUCCCCGGGCUCAACCUGGGAACUGCAUUCGAAACUGGCAGGCUUGAGUCUUGUAGAGGGGGGUAGAAUUCCAGGUGUAGCGGUGAAAUGCGUAGAGAUCUGGAGGAAUACCGGUGGCGAAGGCGGCCCCCUGGACAAAGACUGACGCUCAGGUGCGAAAGCGUGGGGAGCAAACAGGAUUAGAUACCCUGGUAGUCCACGCCGUAAACGAUGUCUACUUGGAGGUUGUGCCCUUGAGGCGUGGCUUCCGGAGCUAACGCGUUAAGUAGACCGCCUGGGGAGUACGGCCGCAAGGUUAAAACUCAAAUGAAUUGACGGGGGCCCGCACAAGCGGUGGAGCAUGUGGUUUAAUUCGAUGCAACGCGAAGAACCUUACCUGGUCUUGACAUCCACAGAAGAAUCCAGAGAUGGAUUUGUGCCUUCGGGAACUGUGAGACAGGUGCUGCAUGGCUGUCGUCAGCUCGUGUUGUGAAAUGUUGGGUUAAGUCCCGCAACGAGCGCAACCCUUAUCCUUUGUUGCCAGCGGUCCGGCCGGGAACUCAAAGGAGACUGCCAGUGAUAAACUGGAGGAAGGUGGGGAUGACGUCAAGUCAUCAUGGCCCUUACGACCAGGGCUACACACGUGCUACAAUGGCGCAUACAAAGAGAAGCGACCUCGCGAGAGCAAGCGGACCUCAUAAAGUGCGUCGUAGUCCGGAUUGGAGUCUGCAACUCGACUCCAUGAAGUCGGAAUCGCUAGUAAUCGUGGAUCAGAAUGCCACGGUGAAUACGUUCCCGGGCCUUGUACACACCGCCCGUCACACCAUGGGAGUGGGUUGCAAAAGAAGUAGGUAGCUUAACCUUCGGGAGGGCGCUUACCACUUUGUGAUUCAUGACUGGGGUGAAGUCGUAACAAGGUAACCGUAGGGGAACCUGCGGUUGGAUCACCUCCUUACCUGAAAGAA